rnacentral:lncRNA from 1 species
CUAAAACUAGACUGAAUUCGAUAUCAAUCCAGUUGUGGCUUAGUAAGAAAUGCACCUGACAUGCUUUCAUUUGUCUGAUAAAAAUAUCGUUAUGGGUACGUUUUUUCUGCUUAAGAAUUGGCCCAACUCAUCUUAAAAAUAUCGUUAUGGGUACCUCAUCUUUUUAAUAUCAUUUUCAAAUUAAGUUAAAAAUCAAUGGAAUACUCGCUUCCAAAUGUAAGAGAAUCAUAAUACAGUUGCAGCUUAAGUGAUGAGGUCACUUAAUUCUCGUCAAAAUUAGACCACAUUAACUUGUAAUAUAACUAGUGGCGGAGGUAGCAAAGUGCAUCUGACGAGUUACUUCAUAAUUUCUGUGUCUCUUUCAAACUUCCACAGCUAGUCGUAAAAAGUAAUUAGCAAUUUUUUCCACAUAUCACACGUGCCCAGUUCUUAUAUCAUUUUUUCACAUAAUUAACAAAGGAAUUCUCAUUUUUCACAAAAUGAACGAGGAUUCUCCUAUUCAAUUUUCGACGUUCACAUCCACAACUAGGGUGUACGAACCCAGUUGCCAAUCAGCCAGUCAACACAAGUGGAAGCAAUUCAUUCUGGUAGAAGGUCUUCAAUUCCGCUUGCCAAAUCAGAUGGCAGUUUGAGACGAGGAGAAUAACUUAACUUUUGAUUGAGACGUCCAGAGUGGAUAUGAUAGAUAUACCGUUCAAACAUAUGGGCACCCGUGCCCACACUGCCAAGCUCACAAGACUUGACAUAAACAUAUACCACCAGUCUCGCAGUUCUUUUAAGCAGUGCCCAAGAACACGUGUUGCACAUUUUACUCUUCUAUUUAUCUCUAAAUUUCAUUGCAUCAGUUUUUUUCAUUUAAACGUGUGAUGGAAGAUAUCAAUAAAACAUGCCUAAUGGCACAAGAUACCAAUCUUUAACAUGUCUUAAGAGGAACUUCACUUGUACGCUAUGAAUACUUGGACAGCAUCCAACAAUUUCAAGUCUGAAAAAGCAACUACUAAGAAGCAAUGCAACUAGCUUCCCUAGCUCAAAGGCACAAACAGACCUGCAUCGCUUAUCCUCCGGUGGUGUUCACUCUUCCCUAAAAGCCCUCAAAAUAAGCAAUACAAAAGUAGAAAUGUAGAUGUACAAGCUAACAGAAUAUCAUUUUUGCUUCCAGACUUCCAUUAUACUCACUGAUAGAAACAGAUAAAAGAGCCAAAUAACACGCAACAACGUUACCAAGUCUCUCCCACUACUGACAUAGCACUUGCCAAACAAAGCACAAACAACGAAGCAGAAAACGAUACUCUCGCAAAACAAUAAUAUCUUUUAAACUUAAUUACGAAAUAAUUCAUUUUCAUCUAAUGUUUGGUUUACCACCAGAAAAAUGAAAACUUAAGUGAAUACCUAAACACUAAUAAACUUUGGACCAACGGUAUGACCGCCAAAACAAAAUAAGGACAAACAUCUAAAACAAUAUUGAGUAGAUUCCAAGUCAUCAAAAGAAGAAUGAAGGCAAUAAAUCUUUUUGAUAGUUAUGCAAAAAACAAAUUGUAUGACAAAAGAUCGAGUUCAAAUUCCAACAUAAAAUAGCAAAUGAUUAGAACUACGUGCUGCUCUAAAUGAGCCAUGUAUGCUUAGGGCUCGUUUCGUAAAGAAUAUAAGAAUAAUGCUAAAUAGAAUGUAUUAAUUAUGCUGACACAUUUCUUAUUCAUUGUUUAGUUUGAUGUAUUAAAACAUUGCACAAAUUCUAAAAAAAUUAUUUGAUUACAAAAAUACCCUCAUAACCAAUCUAUCACUUUAUCUUUUUAAAAGAAACAUAUAUUGAGGAAUGUUUUUUUAUGAAAAAGGUUAUAAAAAAAAUUAUUUGGUUCGACUACCUAUAUUAUUACAACAACAACAACAACUACCCAGUAUAGUCCCACAAAGUGGGGUCUGGGGAGGGUAACAUNNNNNNNNNNNNNNNNNNNNNNNNNNNNNNNNNNNNNNNNNNNNNNNNNNNGGGAGGGUAACAUGUAGACGAGCCUUACCCCUACCCGAAAGGGCAGAGAGGCUGUUUCCAAUCGACCCUCGGCUCAGCGAAGGAAAGGAACAACAAAAACUAAAACAACAACAAAAGAGCAUUAGUAGCUUCAGCAGAAAUAGCGUAAAUAAUUAUCUAAACAUAAGAACCAUAAAUAAUUAUGUUAAGCAUUUAUCUAAUAAGGAUAUAACUUUAUUUCCCACUUUCUUGGAUUAUUUCAAACUUACAUUAAUAUAACCACGUAUAUUUUAAUCAAGCAUAAAUUUUGAAGGACAAUUUUGUCUUUAACUAAGCUAAUGCAUGCAUUAAAACCCAUUGCAUUGUUAAUACCAUGAUUUCUUAUCAUUAGUUAUGCAUAGGAUAAUGCCAAAUAGGGUGUAUAAUUAAUGCAUAGGUUCAAAAAGUGUACCAAACAAGGUACUAUUAAUACACAAAACUAACGCAUGCAUUAAUUUAUCUAAUGCAUCCUACAAAAUGACCCCUUAAUAUAACUCUUACACCAGUGACAGCAUGAUAUUGAGUCAAACGGCCUCCUGGAGACGGGGAGCUAUCCCUGCUAUCAGUACACACUAUUAUGACAGCCAACUUAAAGGAGUUAGUUCAAAACAAAAGGUUAAAAAACAAGGAGGGGGAGAACAUAAACCCAACAGCAAUAAUAAACCUCUACUAAUAACUAAAUUUAACACAUCCUUCCUAAUCUUAUGUUGCAGUGAUUGCCUAGCCACUACUCAAUCUAAAAUAAGUGUCCAAAUUCUAAGUAACCGCUUCCUGCUACACCAAGCUCCUCAUGGUUGGAACAACAUUGGAAUGGUAAUUCCCUUCUCCCCCAGAAAGGUUCACGUGUUACGUUAACAACUGUUAGAAAGAAAAAAUUCCAAAGCCAAGGAGGUUCCUAGUUUUCUACUGCCCAUCUCACUUCAAAGCUACCCAUCCUCACUUCUCUCUAAUGGGCUUCACCCAAUCCUCCAUGGCACAAAACUUUGUUAAUAGACAUCCUAGAAAAUCUAACUAUAAGUUUAAAUUAAACUUAUCUAUGAGGAUAAGCAAUUUUAGGACAGAAAUCAGUCCAGCGCAGGAUACCAACUUCCAGUACAAGCAUCUCUUCCUGUCACAAGACAUCUGGAAAAUGUAUCAGAAUUAUAAUAAAUGUUAAUUCCGAGACAUGUGAAUAUAGGCGUCAAACUAACCAACUCACAUACCCUGGGGACCUUCACAAUUUCAAGAUGCAUCACCUUCAGGAGAGGAAUAGCAGAAGCAAGUAGUAGGCUGCUUUCUGAGUUCUCAAUAUUAAAAUAACCACAGAAAGGUAAAACACAUAACCAAGUUAGAAAAGAAAAGCAAAGGAGAUUAGCGGUGAUAAGUCAAAGAGGAGAGAAACACACAAAACAGACAACAAACUGUCAGUGAUUAGUAAACAAGAGAUUCAAACAAAUCAUUAAAACAAAAUUUGAUAAACAUAUGCUGGAAGGCAACCCCCAAAACGAGUCCUACAAAAAGUAAAAUUAAUAUUCCAUAAUCCACUGAUUAAAUGCUCCAACACUAGCUGAAUGAACUGAAGGUCUCAUCUCUCUGCAUAACAGUACAACAAGGUUAAAGAUGUGAGUCUGAAACUUCCAACAAAUAAGUCAUGGCAAGAGGAAAGAAAUCAGGUGAAGUGCUCCAACACAUCAGCCUGCCAAAAUAUCACAACAUUAACAAAAGAGAACUGUUAAGAAUGAAGAUAAUCAAGCAACAAAUAAAUUAUUAAAUGCUCGCUGCUUCAAAAAAAAAACAGAGUAACAUUUCCUUAAAACAAAACACAAACAGAAAGGGAAAUGAAAAAAGAUGAACUAAAAUGCAAUCAAGAUUCAAUAGUGGGAGCCGCAAGAUUUGAAUAUAGAUACUUCUAAUGUAGAUGAAUCUGCAUAGCUUUCUGGAGUUCAUUAACAAACAACCUUAUUAUAUACAGUAUACAGUUAAAUUGCUGGAGAAUUAGCUCUAUGAUGGGUCUCUCUUUCUCUACAACUUAGAAAAAUUGGGAAGAGAAAUGAAAACUUCAAAAGAUUUUUACUUUUGAUCCCUAAGGAAAGAUUUGAGUAUCCUACGCAUUAAUCCCACUCAUUUUCUUGUAAAUAAAAAGAUGGAAAACUCAAUCAUUUAUGAAAUUUUGAAAGAAAAAAAAAACCCUUAAAACCCUAGUAAAAUUGGUUGAUAAGAAACUUGGUUGUCCCAUUGCAGAGCUUAGGCGCGAGGAUGAGGAUGUACACAUAAUACAUGUGUAUGCCUCUGAAAGGUGAACGCCAAACAGCAUAGAGAAGACCAAAAUGACAAUUUUGGAAACAGAAGAAACAAAAUAACUUCC